UUCUUGAAUUCCCAUUUCGAACUCAUCCUCUCUCUCUCUCUCUCUCCGACCGAGAUCGGUGGACAAAACCGCACAAACCCACGCCGCGAGACUAGAAGCAGAAGGAACCCUAGCCCCUCAUUCCUACCUCGCAUGGCGUCGCCACGGGUGAUGGCGUCGCCCUCGUCGUCCGCGAGCUCCGACGUUGCCCGCCAAUCUUCCGCGUAUGCCUCCGCCGCAUCGUGCGACCAGACUGAGGCCCUCGGAUCCGUGAGCAUGGACCACCUCCUCCGCGGUUUCUGCGCCCAGCCGCCGUUCCCCCUGCCCCUGCCUAGGAACGCCGCUGGCACGACGGCGGAUGUGGUUUGGGAGAUCCCCGACGGGGCUGGAUCGGGGUACGAGGACGCGGCGGCGGGGGCAGACGGGGAGGUGACCCUCGAGGAGUUCUUGGCGAGGACUGGCGCAGUGAGGGAGGAGGACGUCGGGGUUUCGACAGGGUUCGUGGUGGAUCCGGCGAUCGGUGGGCGGUUUUGUCAGCAGGAGCAGCAGUUGCCGCUGGAGAAUCCGAUGCUCGGGUUUGGGAGUGCCUUGGAGAGUGGAGGGCGGAGAGCGAGGAAGAGAGUGGUGUUGGAUGAUCCAGUGGAUAAAGUGGUGCUGCGGAGGCAGAAGAGGAUGAUCAAGAACAGGGAGUCGGCUGCGAGGUCGAGAGAGAGGAAACAGGCUUACACUGUAGAGCUUGAGUCUCUGGUGACACGGUUGGAGGAGGAAAACGUUACGCUCGUAAGAGAACAGGAGGAGCAGCACAAGAUGAGAUUUCAGCAGAAGACAGUUGGUUAAGGUUGUGGAUGUUCCUUCUAUGAGUUUUGUUGGUGAUCGAUUGUACGAGUUAUUGGAAUUGACUAGCUACUCUCAUGGAGAUCUUAUUGCUCUGCAGUGGAUAGAAUCUUCUCUGAAGAGACAAAAAAGGGUCAUGAGAAUCUCAACUCUGAUAAUUUCAAAAAACAUUAUUUGAUUUGUCAUCAGAGAUUGGUAGAGGGGAUUGGAAGUUUGUGGAGUUGAGUAGGUUGGAGAUUGGGAGACUAGUCUACAGGCCAAGGACAGUCCAGCUGAGCUUAUGGUGAAUAUUAUCCCAGUUAAUGAGAGCAGGAAACCACUGCCUGUUCUCCGAAGGACUCAUUCCAUGCAGUGGUAGAUAUUUCCUAAGCUGAUGACAAUAUUAUUGUCCAAAGAAGGAAGUCCAUUCUGCUCACAGCGCACAGCAAGGAAAACAUAAUAUAUGGCAUAGCUGAUGCACCUGGCUUUUUCCUUGAAGAUCCAUGCUGACAUUUUUUCCUGAAAAUACUCAUUUGUGAAGAUUAAUGGAUGGAAACAAACAGAGGAGGAAUUUGUAGAUAGUGUUGUGUUAUGCAGCUUCCUGACUAGUAAUGUUUUUGCAUCAAUAAUGCAAAAUUACAUCACUCUUUUAUUUUA